UACGAAGGGGGCUAGCGUUGCUCGGAAUCACUGGGCGUAAAGCGCACGUAGGCGGCUUUCUAAGUCAGGGGUGAAAUCCUGGAGCUCAACUCCAGAACUGCCUUUGAUACUGGAGAGCUUGAGUCCGGAAGAGGUGAGUGGAACUCCGAGUGUAGAGGUGAAAUUCGUAGAUAUUCGGAAGAACACCAGUGGCGAAGGACGGCGCAC
rnacentral:rRNA from 1 species